UGUUUGAUUGUAUAAUUUAAUGACAAUAUAAACAGCAUAGUUUUGUUAUGUUUCCUUUAAAAAGACUAAAGCAAAAAUGAUUCAAAGCUAACAAAAACUACUAUGACAUCAGUUUGACAUUCAAAGUUUGUUUCUUAGCAAAAUGGCCAAAGAUAUUUUGACUUGAUACAGAGUAUAUAUAUAAUAUAAAGUUACUUUUAGACCUAAAAAUCUUCAAACAUUAUUUGAAUUUAGCAAAACAUAAGCAAAAUUUUAAUAUCAAAGUGCUAAACAGUACUGCCUUAAAAGUCACUGCAAAUGAACCAUAAAAUAACCGCAUGGAAAGUAACAUUUAUUUUACAAAUGGUUAAUAAAAAGACACAUUAUAAAUAUAUAUGUAACCUGACUAUGCAACAAAUUAUCUCAUAAUAAUAUGGCAUUAACAGUAUAAACAUACAA
rnacentral:lncRNA from 1 species